rnacentral:rRNA from 1 species
GCCUAACACAUGCAAGUCGAGGGGUAGAAUAGCAAUAUUUGAGACCGGCGCACGGGUGCGUAACGCGUAUGCAAUCUACCUUUUACAGAGGGAUAGCCCAGAGAAAUUUGGAUUAAUACCUCAUAGUAUAGUGAGUUGGCAUCAACACACUAUUAAAGUCACAACGGUAAAAGAUGAGCAUGCGUCCCAUUAGCUAGUUGGUAAGGUAACGGCUUACCAAGGCAACGAUGGGUAGGGGUCCUGAGAGGGAGAUCCCCCACACUGGUACUGAGACACGGACCAGACUCCUACGGGAGGCAGCAGUGAGGAAUAUUGGUCAAUGGGCGCAAGCCUGAACCAGCCAUGCCGCGUGCAGGAUGACGGUCCUAUGGAUUGUAAACUGCUUUUGCACAGGAAGAAACACUACCUCGUGAGGUAGCUUGACGGUACUGUGAGAAUAAGGAUCGGCUAACUCCGUGCCAGCAGCCGCGGUAAUACG